rnacentral:rRNA from 1 species
GGAUUAGAUACCCUGGUAGUCCACGCCGUAAACGUUGGGCACUAGGUGUGGGGAGGAAUCAACCCUUUCCGUGCCGUAGCUAACGCAUUAAGUGCCCCGCCUGGGGAGUACGGCCGCAAGGCUAAAACUCAAAGGAAUUAACGGGGGCCCGCACAAGCGGCGGAGCAUGUUGCUUAAUUCGAGGCAACGCGAAGAACCUUACCUGGGUUUGACAUGUACCGAAAAGCCAUAGAGAUAUGGUGUCCUUCGGGGCGGUACACAGGUGGUGCAUGGUUGUCGUCAGCUCGUGCCG